rnacentral:rRNA from 1 species
AGGACGAACGCUGGCGGCGUGCUUAACACAUGCAAGUCGAGCGGAAAGGCCCUUCGGGGUACUCGAGCGGCGAACGGGUGAGUAACACGUGAGCAACCUGCCCCUGGCUCUGGGAUAGCCUCCGGAAACGGGGAUUAAUACCGGAUAUUCACUGUCUCCUGCAUGGGGGGUGGUGGAAAGUUUUUCGGCUAGGGUGGGGCUCGCGGCCUAUCAGCUUGUUGGGGGGGUGACGGCCCACCAAGGCGACGACGGGUAGCCGGCCUGAGAGGGCGACCGGCCACACUGGGACUGAGACACGGCCCAGACUCCUACGGGAGGCAGCAGUGGGGAAUAUUGCGCAAUGGGCGGAAGCCUGACGCAGCGACGCCGCGUGCGGGAUGAAGGCCUUCGGGUUGUAAACCGCUUCACCAGGACGAAGCGGAAGUGACGGUACCUGGGGAAGAAGCGCCGGCUAACUACGUGCCAGCAGCCGC